rnacentral:rRNA from 1 species
UACGGAGGAUGCGAGCGUUAUCCGGAUUUAUUGGGUUUAAAGGGUGCGCAGGCGGCACGGCAAGCCGGCGGUCAAAUCGCGGGGCUCAACCCCGCCCAGCCGUCGGAACUGCCGGGCUAGAGUGGGCGAGAAGUGCGCGGAAUGCGUGGUGUAGCGGUGAAAUGCAUAGAUAUCACGCAGAACUCCGAUUGCGAAGGCAGCGCACCGGCGCCCUACUGACGCUCAGGCACGAGAACGUGGGUAUCGAACAGG